AGACUUUGAUCAUGGCUCAGGAUGAACGCUGGCGGCGUGCCUAAUACAUGCAAGUCGAACGCGAGCACUUGUGCUCGAGUGGCGAACGGGUGAGUAAUACAUAAGUAACCCUGCCCUAGACAGGGGGAUAACUAUUGGAAACGAUAGCUAAGACCGCAUAGGUACGGACACUGCAUGGUGACCGUAUUAAAAGUGCCUCAAAGCACUGGUAGAGGAUGGACUUAUGGCGCAUUAGCUGGUUGGCGGGGUAACGGCCCACCAAGGCGACGAUGCGUAGCCGACCUGAGAGGGUGACCGGCCACACUGGGACUGAGACACGGCCCAGACUCCUACGGGAGGCAGCAGUAGGGAAUUUUCGGCAAUGGGGGAAACCCUGACCGAGCAACGCCGCGUGAAGGAAGAAGGUUUUCGGAUUGUAAACUUCUGUUAUAAAGGAAGAACGGCGGCUACAGGAAAUGGUAGCCGAGUGACGGUACUUUAUUAGAAAGCCACGGCUAACUACGUGCCAGCAGCCGCGGUAAUACGUAGGUGGCAAGCGUUAUCCGGAAUUAUUGGGCGUAAAGAGGGAGCAGGCGGCAGCAAGGGUCUGUGGUGAAAGCCUGAAGCUUAACUUCAGUAAGCCAUAGAAACCAGGCAGCUAGAGUGCAGGAGAGGAUCGUGGAAUUCCAUGUGUAGCGGUGAAAUGCGUAGAUAUAUGGAGGAACGCCAGUGGCGAAGGCGACGAUCUGGCCUGCAACUAACGCUCAGUCCCGAAAGCGUGGGGAGCAAAUAGGAUUAGAUACCCUAGUAGUCCACGCCGUAAACGAUGAGUACUAAGUGUUGGAUGUCAAAGUUCAGUGCUGCAGUUAACGCAAUAAGUACUCCGCCUGAGUAGUACGUUCGCAAGAAUGCAACUCAAAUGAAUUGA
rnacentral:rRNA from 1 species